CUCAGUUGUGAAGAAUCGUCAGUGAAUCAAAGAUGGUUGGAAAGUUUUUCUGUUUUGUUCUUCUCAUAGGUUAUACUUCUGGGUUUCCUGGUAAAAUCAAGGAAAAAACGCAGGCUUCAUCAAGCAAUACACCUACGUCAAGCGCAUGUGAUGAUAUUCAGUGUGGAUUUGGAGAGAAGUGUGUACUCAUGAAAGUACAGUGUAUUCGAGCCCCUUGCCAUCCCAUACCUUCAUGUGUGCCUGACAACUGAUCUUUGUAACAUGGAAAUACAAAGUAUUUUGUGAA